CCGUUCACUUACAAAAACCUGAAAACAGGCAUCGCCGGAGAAGGCCCCGGUGGACGCUGCCUUUCCUUGCUCACUGCCGACGGCCGCUGGGCAAAAGCCGAUUGUGAGGAGAAGCGCAGCAGCUACAUCUGCAAGAAAAGAGGAAGAGGCAU